GCAUAACGCGAAGAACCUUACCAAGGCUUGACGUACACCAGAACACCCUAGAAAUAGGGGACUCUUUGGACACUGGUGAACAGGUGGUGCAUGGUUGUCGUCAGCUCGUGUCGUGAGAUGUUGGGUUAAGUCCCGCAACGAGCGCAACCCUCGUUCUAUGUUGCCAGCACGUAAUGGUGGGAACUCAUGGGAUACUGCCGGGGUCAACUCGGAGGAAGGUGGGGAUGACGUCAAAUCAUCAUGCCCCUUAUGUCUUGGGCUUCACGCAUGCUACAAUGGCCGGUACAAAGGGCUGCAAUACCGUGAGGUGGAGCGAAUCCCAAAAAGCCGGUCCCAGUUCGGAUUGAGGUCUGCAACUCGACCUCAUGAAGUCGGAGUCGCUAGUAAUCGCAGAUCAGCAACGCUGCGGUGAAUACGUUCCCGGGUCUUGUACACACCG
rnacentral:rRNA from 1 species